rnacentral:rRNA from 1 species
UACGAAGGGGGCUAGCGUUGCUCGGAAUCACUGGGCGUAAAGCGCACGUAGGCGGAUCUUUAAGUCAGGGGUGAAAUCCUGGAGCUCAACUCCAGAACUGCCUUUGAUACUGAGGAUCUCGAGUCCGGGAGAGGUGAGUGGAACUGCGAGUGUAGAGGUGAAAUUCGUAGAUAUUCGCAAGAACACCAGUGGCGAAGGCGGCUCACUGGCUCGGUACUGACGCUGAGGUGCGAAAGCGUGGGGAGCAAACAGG